CAUGUCCAUGAGGCUGGAGGAAGUUAAUGAGAGAGAACACUCUAUGAAGGCUUCACUCCAGACUGUGGACAUCCGGCUGGCACAGCUGGAGGACCUAAUCGGGCGCAUGGCCACGGCCCUGGAGCGCCUAACGGGUCUGGAGCGGGCAGAGUCCAACAAGAUCCGCUCAAGGACCUCCUCAGAUUGCACAGAUGCGGCCUACAUUGUCCGCCAGAGCAGCUUCAACAGCCAGGAGGGGAACACCUUCAAACUUCAAGAGAGUAUAGACCCUGCAGAGCAUCCUUUUUAUUCAGUGUAAGCCGGCAGCAAGCAGUUCUACCUAACGUCCCACAUCCUUCUCAUGCCAACACUUCUGUAAUUGGUCAUUAUAAAGAAAAACAAGGUAACAGUCAUAUAUACAGUUCACCUGUCUCUUAUAUAUUCACUUCUGGUGCCACAAUUGUUUAUCUCUGUAGAAGAAAAUAAGGGAACAGAAAUGCCUUUUUUUUUUCUCUUUUGGUUUUGCAAUCAAAAUGAAAGAAGAAUUAAUGUUGAAAGCAAAAGUCUUAUGAUUUAUAAUAUACCAUGGGCAAUCAAGUAUAUAGUCAAGCAAGCUCAGGAUGAAUGUAAUUAGAUAAUUUUAUAUUUUUAAGUUAUUUUGUAUCUCACCUGUCAUCAGUGAAUUCACUAUCAAAUAUGUAAUAUUGAACUAAAAAAAAAAGUGGAAAGAACUGACAUUAAAUUGCCACGUGGGAUUAUUGUUAGCGUCUCGCCAUUCAUCGUGUGUGAUGCUGCUGUGUGGCCUUCAUCAUUUGCAUGUCUCCACUAUGUCCUCCGAACACCUCCAAGAUGUAACUGCCAAAUUUUCACACCACUCAUCAUGUGACCAUUUUGUAUUUGAACACAUGGUUAUAUGUGGAUAUUUUCAUACGUAGAAUUUAGCCAUCUAAUCUUGGGCUCAGCAUAAAUUUAAUCGGAGUUUUUCAAGGGCUGGUAUCUUUUUUAUGGAAAUGUUCCAAAGUACUCUUGUUUUUGUUUUUGAGACAGGGUUUCUCUGUGUAACAGCUCUGGCUGUCCUGAAACUCACUUUGUAGACCAGGCUGGCCUUCAACUCACAGAGAUCUGCCUGCUUCUGCCUCCCUAGUGCUGGGAUUAAAGGCUUGUGCCAUCACAACCCAACUCCAAAGUACUUUUUAAAGAAAUUUAAAAAACAUAAAUAACCAUAGACUUGACUAGGGGCUUGACAUCAACCCAAAGCCAUCAUCAGCUGCAGGCAGACCAUGAAUAUGUUUCUUAUUUACGGAGCUCUAAAGAAGAUACAGUAGGCCAAAAUAGAAAGCAAAUAUACCAUAUACAGUUCUAUAGUUUAUGUUGCUUAUGUAUACAUCCACAUACACAGACACAUGUUUAUAUAGAGUAAUAGACACAGAGAUUUCUUAAGUGGCCUUGACUUCCUGUCAUCUGGAGGUAUAACCAAGAUUAUUUUUUAGUAUCCAAGGAGUUUUGUUGGAAAAAUAGUUCAUUGUGCUAUUGGCCCCACUGUUGAAAUAAUACUUUCCAGAAAAUCUCUGUCUCUUUAAUCUUCCCUUACACUGAACAAGAACUGUCAAAAUGGCUCACCCCUUCCCUCUCCCUCCUCUGGUUUGGAGGCAUCCAAUGUCAUGACAUCUCUUUCACUCUGGUUUCUCGGACAUGAAGUUAUUCCCACAAAAUACAAUCUGAAUAGAUGUGUGAUUGCAAGCCUGUUUGUAUUACACAGUCUGGAAUGGAGGCGUAAGUUUCUAGAUUAGAAUUCAGAUUUGAAAUAGGAUGAAGAAAUCUUGACCACAAAACUUUGGAUUCCUAUUUGGAUCAUUGAACAUUUUAAGAUAAAGUCUUUAAGAAAAAUUAUUUGGAGCCAGGCGUAGUGGUGAUGCACACCUGUGACCCAGCACUGGGAGGGAAGAGGCAGGAGGAUGAGGAAUUCAGAGUCAGCCUCUGCUACAUACCACAUCCAAGGCUACAUGAGACCCUGUCACACACACACACACACACACACACACACCAAAAAAAAAAAAAAAAAAAAAAAAAGGAAAGAAAGAAAAAAAAACAUUGUAAAAGAAAAGUAUUUUGAACUAGGGAUUGGGCUCAGUGGCCCAGCACU
rnacentral:lncRNA from 1 species